GCCAGGCGUGGUGGCCCACACCUGUAAUCCCAGCUACUCGGGAGGCUGAGGCAGGAGAAUCACUUGAACCUGGGAGGCUGAGGGUACAGUGAGCCGAGAUCAUGCCACUGCACUCUAGCCUGGGUGACAGAGGGAGACUCUGUCUCAA
rfam:Gorilla gorilla gorilla genomic chromosome, chr7, whole genome shotgun sequence